rnacentral:tRNA from 1 species
GGGUCUGUAGCUCAGCUGGUUAGAGCACUCGCCUGAUAAGCGAGAGGUCAGCCGUUCGAGCCGGCUCAGACCCA